rnacentral:rRNA from 1 species
AUCGGGCUUUGCUUGGUGGUGAGAGUGGCGAACGGGUGAGUAAUGCGUGACCGACCUGCCCCAUGCUCCGGAAUAGCUCCUGGAAACGGGUGGUAAUGCCGGAUGUUCCACAUGAUCGCAUGUGAUUGUGGGAAAGAUUCUAUCGGCGUGGGAUGGGGUCGCGUCCUAUCAGCUUGUUGGUGAGGUAACGGCUCACCAAGGCUUCGACGGGUAGCCGGCCUGAGAGGGCGACCGGCCACAUUGGGACUGAGAUACGGCCCAGACUCC